rnacentral:rRNA from 1 species
UCGUUGAUUUCACACUGCCGAGAAAAGCCUCUAGAUAGAAAAUAGGUGCCCGUACCGCAAACCGACACAGGUAGUCAAGAUGAGAAUUCUAAGGUGAGCGAGCGAACUCUCGUUAAGGAACUCGGCAAAAUGACCCCGUAACUUCGGGAGAAGGGGUGCUCUUUAGGGUUAACGCCCAGAAGAGCCGCAGUGAAUAGGCCCAAGCGACUGUUUAUCAAAAACACAGGUCUCUGCUAAACCGUAAGGUGAUGUAUAGGGGCUGACGCCUGCCCGGUGCUGGAAGGUUAAGAGGAGUGGUUAGCUUCUGCGAAGCUACGAAUCGAAGCCCCAGUAAACGGCGGCCGUAACUAUAACGGUCCUAAGGUAGCGAAAUUCCUUGUCGGGUAAGUUCCGACCCGCACGAAAGGCGUAACGAUUUGGGCACUGUCUCAACGAGAGACUCGGUGAAAUCAUAGUACCUGUGAAGAUGCAGGUUACCCGCGACAGGACGGAAAGACCCCGUGGAGCUUUACUGUAGCC